CAGAAUUAGUUCUAUGACCUCGCUCGACCACAAGGGGUCAGGAGUGAGCUUCGAGGCAAGAGUGGUAGCGUUCACGUGUAAUCCUAGCGCAUGAGGCUGAGGCAAGAUUGCUGUGCCUUUGAGUCCAUUUGAGACACAGUGAGAGUGUCUCAAAACAAAGGAAUGCAGGAAUAUUUGGAGACUACAAUGAUUACCACUAGUAGCCUUCCUGGUAGGCCAUUACCAAACUCUCAUCUCUCCUGCAGGUUUCAGAGAUCAAACUCAGGUCAUCCUACUUCUUGACGAGUGUUUUACCUGCUAAGACCUCACGCCAUCCCUCCAAACACAACGACACUACUGCACUAAUGAAAUCAACUGUAACCUCAUCAGUGUCAAGAUUAGCUUACCAUAUGCCCAGAGCAGAUGUGACAACAUAUCUUAAACCUCAGCAAUGAAAUCACAAGUUCGAGGCCAGCCUGGGCUACACAGCAAGACCCAGUAAAGAAAUCGCU